rnacentral:rRNA from 1 species
UUUAGAUUUUGAUCCUGCCUCAGAUGAACCGCGGGGCGGCAGGCCUAACACAUGCAAGUCGAGCGGAAAACGAUGGGAGCUUUGCUCCCAGGCGUCGAGCGGCGGACGGGUGAGUAAUGCAUAGGAAUCUGCCCCGGUAGUGGGGGAUAACCUGGGGAAACUCAGGCUAAUACCGCAUACGCCCCACGGGGGAAAGCAGGGGAUCCGUGUUCUUCGGAAUGGGGACCUUGCGCUAUCGGAUGAGCCUAUGUCGGAUUAGCUUGUUGGUGAGGUAAUGGCUCACCAAGGCGACGAUCCGUAGCUGGUCUGAGAGGAUGAUCAGCCACAUCGGGACUGAGACACGGCCCGAACUCCUACGGGAGGCAGCAGUGGGGAAUAUUGGACAAUGGGCGAAAGCCUGAUCCAGCCAUGCCGCGUGUGUGAAGAAGGCUUUCGGGUUGUAAAGCACUUUCAGUGAGGAAGAAGGCCUUGGGGCUAAUACCCCCGAGGAAGGACAUCACUCACAGAAGAAGC